ACGCUGGCGGCGUGCCUAAAACAUGCAAGUCGAACGGGGGAGCAAUCCCCAGUGGCGAACGGCGGAGUAAUACAUAAGCAACGUGCCCUGAAGUCUGGGAUAUACGGCCGAAAGGCCGGGCAAUACUGGAUGUGACGGAGUUCCGGCAUCGGGAUUCCAUUAAACGGUUUUUCGCUUCAGGAGUGGCUUAUGGCCUAUCAGGUAGUUGGUGGGGUAAUGGCCUACCAAGCCGACGACGGGUAGCGGGUCUGAGAGGAUGGUCCGCUCGAGUGGGACUGAGACACGGCCCACACACCUACGGGUGGCAGCAGUUGGGAAUCUUGCACAAUGGGGGAAACCCUGAUGCAGCGACGCCGCGUGGAGGACGAAGGGUCUAGGCCUGUAAACUCCUUUUCUCAGGAAAGACUUAGGACGGUACCUGAGGAAUAAGCACCGGCUAACUACGUGCCAGCAGCCGCGGUAAGACGUAGGGUGCAAGCGUUGUCCGGAUUUACUGGGCGUAAAGAGCGCGUAGGCGGUCUGUUAAGUGUAGAGUGAAAUCUCUGGGCUCACCCUGNAAACUGCUCUGCAUACUGGCAGACU
rnacentral:rRNA from 1 species